CAAUAGCGUAUAUUUAAGUUGUUGCAGUUAAAAAGCUCGUAGUUGGAUUUCGGUUAAGAGCGACCGGUCCGCCGUUUGGUGUGCACUGGUUGGUUUUAACUUCCUGUAGAGGACGUGCUCUGGGUUUAACGACCUGGACUCGGAGUCUACGUGGUUACUUUGAAAAAAUUAGAGUGUUCAAAGCGGGCUUACGCUUGAAUAUUUCAGCAUGGAAUAACACUAUAGGACUCCUGUCCUAUUUCGUCGGUCUCGGGACGGGAGUAAUGAUUAAGAGGAACAGUUGGGGGCAUUCGUAUUUCAUUGUCAGAGGUGAAAUUCUUGGAUUUAUGAAAGACGAACUUCUGCGAAAGCAUUUGCCAAGGAUGUUUUCAUUAA
rnacentral:rRNA from 1 species